rnacentral:lncRNA from 1 species
GUCCUUCAACUAUUCUAUGGGAACCCGGGCAUUUUCCCAUGACAGUAUUUUUAUCCCUGAUGGGGGAGCAGAAAGUGAGCAGACAGUUCAAGCAAUGUCACAGGACAACAUCCUGGGCAAAGUCAAAACUCUUCAGUCGACUAAGCAGUAUGUUCCUGCGACAGUUGGGCAAGAACAUCAAGUUUGGGCAGCCACCACCCAACGCCAUUCCCAUGAAGAAGGCAGACAGUGGCGAGGCUCGCUUCGAAGAGGACCCAUUCCUCACCAGUCCUGUGGAAGUUGUGACUCAGCAAGACCUCAUCCUCUCAGACACCGAGAACAAAUCCAGUGAGACGCCAAGUUCUCCAAGUCCUCUGAAUCUGCCCGGAGCCAGAAGUGAGAUGGAAGAGAAGGUUGCUCCAGUUAAACCGUCCCGGCCCAAGAGGCACCUUUCUUCCGCUGGCACCAUUGAAAGUGUCAACCUGGAUGCCAUCCCCCUGGCCAUCGCUCGACUGGAUAACAGUGCCGCCAAGCACAAACUGUCCAUUAAGCCAAAAAACAAGAGGGUGUCAAGGAAGCACAGGCGACUUGUCGGGGAUCGACAGAACGAGCACGGUGGCCUUCUGCAUCAGCUGUCCCUGGACCAGAACGGACACCCUGGAGAAGACAAGCCAAUCUGGCAGGAAGGAGAGCUGGAGCCCCGGGACUCGGAGGAAGAGAAGCGACGCCAGGAAGAAUACUGGCGGGACCUUGAGGCCAAGUGCAAACGGCAGAAGGCCGAAGCUGCGGAGAGGCGACGCCUGGAAGAGCAGAGGCUCCAGGCUCUCGAGCGGAGGCUUUGGGAGGAGAACAGAAGGCAGGAACUCUUGGAGGAAGAGGAGGAGGAGGAGGAGGAGGGAGAGGAAAGAGAAAUACAGCUAGAGGCAAAGAAGAGGCAGAGCGAAGAAGAGAUGCGGAGCCUGGAAGAGCCGGGUUCCCAGGGCCCAGAGCAGAGGGAGGAAGAGGAAGGAGGACUCCCAGAGGCCGAGGAGCCCGUGUGCCCAGAGGAAGAGGCGCAACACCUGGGGAGAUGCUUGGUGCAGGAGGAGAUGGAGGCUCAGAGCCGGCAGGAGGCCGAGAACCUGCGACGGGAGGAGGAGGAAAGAGAGUUGGAGGAACUCCGAAGACUGGAGGAGCUGGAGGAGCAGGGGCGGAGGGCAGCCGAGAGGCAGCGGCUGGAAGAGGAGGAGAGGCAGCGGGAGCUGGAGGAGGAAAAACGGAUGGAGGAGCUCAGGAGGCAGGAGGAGCUCAGGAGGCAGGAGGAGCUCAGGAGGCAGGAGGAGCUCAGGAGGCAGGAGGAGCUCAGGAGGCAGGAGGAGCUCAGGAGGCAGGAGGAGCUCAGGAGGCAGGAGGAGCUCAGGAGGCAGGAGGAACUGGAGGCCCAGAGAUGGCGGGAGGAGGAGGAGGUGAGGAAGAGGGAAGAACUGAAGAAGAGAGAAGACUUAGAGGCCAAGAGGAGGCAGGAAGUGGAGAAGAAGCUUCAGGAAGCACCGAGAGUGGAAGAGGAGAAUCAGCCGCAGCUGGACCACAAAAGCGGCUUGAGGAGCCCAUUUCAGAGCGACUUAGCAGAGAAAGCAGAAAACCAAGAUCACCCGAAACUUGAAAAGCUGAGAGAAAACUCCGAGAAACCGAGUAUUUGGGUGAAGCAGAGCCAAGAGGCCACUGAGACAUCGGGGGAGCAGCCCAGAAGGCAGGAGGAAGUUCCUGGGGAUCGUGGUUGUGGACGGCAGGAAAUGAGGGAAGAAACCAACAUGCAGCCUCCCCAGAAGCAAGAGGCCCAGGUGGAAGAGAUGCUGGCACCAGGAGAGAAGAAGGAAGCUGCCACUCCAGAAACAGACAGAAAGGUGGAGGAACUCAGAUGGCAGGAGGUGGAGGAGAGGCAGACCAUGCCCAGACCGUACACUUUCCAGGUGUCAUCAGGAGGGAAACAAAUUCUUUUCCCCAAAGUCAAUCUGAGCCCAGUGAAGCCCAUGAAAGAUGAGGGGCUCACCUCAGCUCCCCAAGAACCCAAGGCCCCCAAAGCCAGCCCAGCCUCCCACGCCCUGCCCUCAACCCUGAGCAUCCCCCACACGGCCAUCCUGGUCACCGGAGCCCAGCUCUGCGGCCCGGCCGUCAACCUGAGCCAGAUCAAGGACACUGCGUGCAAGUCUCUCCUGGGCUUGUCAGAAGAAAAGAAGCUGGUGGAUGUCCCAGCCCUGGAAAACCCACCCCGAGCCCUGGGGGAACCCCGGGCAGGCAGUGCAAAGACCAGGCCCCCACCAGAGUCUCCAAGCAGCACAGCCGCGCUCGCUGAAUGGGCUUCCAUUCGAUCCCGAAUCCUGAAGAGCUCGGAGAGUGACCAGCGUGGUGAGAGAGAGCAGUCUCGGGCUGGGGAUGAGCACACGCCCAGGGGCCGGUGUGAUUCCCGUGGAAACCUCCGGAGGACCCCGCCCGUAAAUGCCAAAUUCUCCAUUAAACCUGCCUGGCAAAAGUUCUCUGAUGGCGGCGGGGAGGGCUCCAGACCCAGCACGGAAGGGGAGAGCAUCAGGAAAAGAUCCGGGCCGGGACCCAGUGAAGAGGCCGUGCCCCAGCCCCCUGCUGCUGAUACUAAAGAGGCCCUGAAAGAUGCAGAGAAACCCAGGGCGCACCAGGAGCCAACGGACACCACAGAGGGGUGCAAAUUUGCCAAAGACCUUCCAUCUUUCCUCGUCCCAGGCCUCCCUUACCCUCCACAGAAAGCAGUGGCCCCGGUGGAGCCCGUGACCACUUCAGAUGGCCAGACCACAGAUGGAGCAGGAAAGUCAGAGUCCACGAUGCCAGGUGGAGAGGAUAAAGCUUCCCUUUUCGGAAUAAAAUUGAGAAGGACCAACUACUCCCUGCGCUUCCACUGCGACCAACAGACAGAACAGAAGAAGAAGAAAAGGCACAGCAGCACAGGGGACAGUAUCGAUGGGGCGCCGUCGGCCCCAGGGAGCACACGUGGAGAGCCAGAGAUGGAGGCUGCAGCCCCCAAGCCUGGCCCCUUGCUCCCUGCAGAGAGGAAGCCAGCCCCAGCCCCCUGGAAGGACUCCUCUGAAAGCCCUCCCAGCCUCUCUCCUCCUGCGGCCCAGCCCGGGCCCCCACUGGACGGCAGCCAGCCCCCGGCUCCGGAGCAGGACAAGGCGGCCACCAGGUUGCCCCUGGCCCAGAAGCCAGCCCUGGCUCCCAAGCCCGCAGGCCAGACCCCACCACCCUCCCCGCUCUCCAAGGUGAGCAGGCCCUACUUGGUGGAGUUGCUGACUCGCCGGGUGGGGAAGCCCGAGCCGGAGCCCAGCGAGCCAUGCAAGGAGGGCCGGGACAGAGGCUGGCCGCCCUCGCCCCCACCGCCUGAAGAGAGAAAGGAGCAGAAGCGGGAUAAGGAGGAAGAGGUGGAAACUGAGAGGAAACCCGCUUCCCCGGUGCCAUCCGCUGGGCAAGAGAAGCCUGCCCCAACGCCCGAGGCGGGGAGGAAAGAAAAGCCGAUGCUUCAGAGCAGACACUCCUUAGAUGGCUCCAAACUUGUGGAGAAGGUUGAGACCGCGCAGCCACUGUGGAUAACGCUGGCGCUGCAGAAACAGAAGGGGUUUCGGGAGCAGCAGGCAACUCGGGAAGAGAGGAAGCAGGCCAGGGAAGCCAAACAGGCAGAGAAGCUCUCCAGAGAACAUGUCAGUGUCACCCCACAGCCUGGAAGCAGCAGCGUCAGCAGAGCUGGUUCCCUGCACAAGCCCACCACUCAGCCAGAAGAGAAGAAGCCAGAGACACCAGUGUCCAGGCUUGAGCGCAGAGAACAACUCAAAAAGGCCAACACUCUUCCUACAUCAGUGACAGUGGAGAUCUCGGAUUCAGCUCCCCCAGCACCACUGGUGAAAGAAGUCACAAAGAGGUUCUCCAACCCAGAUGCUGCCCCCGUGUCAACAGAGCCAGCCUGGCUGGCUUUGGCCAAAAGGAAAGCCAAGGCCUGGAGCGACUGUCCGCAGAUUAUUAAGUAAAGAGUGACUCUUAUCCAUUCUUAUUGCAGUCAUUGGCUCUUCUCUUGCCCUUUUUAUUUAUUUAUUUUUUAUAUGAGGUAAAGAAAACCAAACUAGGAAAAAGAAGCAUGUUUUAUAGGCUCUAAAAUAAUGUUUAGAAACUGAACUGGUGGUGUUCCUUGUAAAGAGUGUAUUUGCACAACCCUAGGUCCUGGUGCCUUGAGCUCCUGCUAGUUUUGAAGAGAAAAUUCCGUCCGAGGGACCACAUGAAGUAAAAUCUCUCGACUAAGACCUCACAAGAGCCUGCCAUGGCCCUUCCACACACACACACCCACACACCAUUCAGAACAUGCCCUUUUGCCAACCUUUGUAAUAUUAAUGGUUUUCUUGAUUCUUUACUCCAGUUUCUUUUCUCUGAACCAUGUGCUUGGGGAUUUCUACCCUUUUCUAAAGUCUUAGUGAAAGGACAAGGAUGCCUAUUCUCCUGAAUGCAGCCACUGGGAACAGCAAGUUAAAAGUCUGGUUUCCAACUCUGUGCCCGUCUCUGCUUCUCAUGAUUUUGCCCCGGCUGGAAACUAACACAGCGAGUCCGUUCACUCUUCUGCUGUGCUGUUGAGCUACGGGCCCUGUUAGACCAGAACUCUCCUUAGGGACAUGUUAACCAUUUGGCCCAGCUGGCUCCUAGGGAACAUUUUUAUUUAAAUGUUUAAAUAAUAAAUGAUUUAAAAAAAAAAAACA